GGUCCUAGACAGUGCAAUACACAAAAGAAAUAUGAGCUAUAAUUAUUGGAAUGAAGAAACUGUCAUGAUUACAGAAGGAGAGGAAAAGGCCCAACACCUGCCUGUCAGGGCUCCUGGAUCACGCCCUGCUGCCUGCUGACCUAUAUUGGACUCGAGCCCUUCUUCUGGCAUGCUCACCUGUUAACCCACCUAUCAGCCCACACCUCUGACUGCUGGCUGCUCCCCAUUGAGCCUGA
rnacentral:lncRNA from 10 species